GGACAGGCUUUUCCUGAAAUCCCUGCCCUUUUGCAGGGUGCCCCAGGGAGGAGCGCGCCCCGGCAGGAGCGAGCAACCAGCAUCUGGUCCAGCGGAUCCACGUCUGAUAGCAGCGCGCUGCAUCUUCGCCUGGGGUGCGUGCAUUUCUCACGUCUGGGUGCUUGCAUGUCUGGUCUGGGUGCGUGCAUAUGUCACAUCUGGGUGCUUGCAUGUCAUGUCUGGGUGCUUGCAUUUGUCAUGUCUGGGUGCGUGCAUUUGUUAUGUCUGGGUGCUUGCAUUUGUCACGUCUGGGUGCGUGCAUUUGCACCAAAUGACUAAUUAAGUAAGUGCCCCAUGGUGGGAAGAGACCUGCUUCAUGCACGUCCCCCACAUGUCCGUACGGCAGCGGUGUGACCCCUGGCUCGGGUGCUGCAGGCAUCGCUUCGCCUGCUCUGGAAGGAAUGAAUGCAAAAUUAAAUCUGUCCCUUAUGUCCUGAGACGCUUCCCCCCCCUCCCCACCGACAUACCUCAUUCCGGCUCUUUUCCCUUUAAGGCCAUGCAAAUGUUUUGGAGGUGUUAUCGAGCCUUCCUUAAACACUGCUGGGGGAAAUGGAGAUGUAAAUAAGGGCUCGAUUGCUGUAGCAGUGACAGACAAUAGCUGCUGGUCAUGGGACUUGCCAGGAUGGUGGGGGAAAAAACAGGAAAAAACAGUUUAAAUUCAGCUCCAAAGACACAGACGUGUGAAUGUAGCCGGAGAGGCGUGGGAGUGCAGCGCUGAUCCGAUUUGGAAGCCAGGCUGGUCAAUAAGGAGGAAGCUAAAGGGGCUGUAGCUGGGGAAGCUGAACCAGGGGAAAGGGAGUUCGGCAGAUCGGGCAGCCGCGUCUCCUUGCACGUCCAGCUGCGUCUCCUUGCACGUCCAGCUGCGUCUCCUUGCACAUCCAGCUGCGUCUCCUUGCACGUCCAGCUGCAUCUCCUUGCACAUCCAGCUGCGUCUCCUUGCGCGUCCAGCUGCAUCUCCUUGCGCGUCCAGCUGCGUCUCCUUGCACAUGCAGCCGCGUCUCCUUGCACGUCCAGCCGCUCGCCCCAGAGCCCCAGCGCCCCGGCCGCUCUCCGCGCAGGAGGCCGCCGGGCGCCUUCACUGCCACAGCCGAGCUGCCCUGCGCCCGGGUGCGCCCGGCUUCGCCCUGCUCUUAACUGCCCUGCCACGGGGCAAGGCCCCGCUGUGGCGCGGGCACCGGCUCAGCGUGGGAUGCACGGGAUGCACCUCCUCCUGCCUGCCCUCCCUGUGGGAUGCCCAGGAUGCAUGGGAUGCGUGGGAUGCAUGGGAUGUGCAGGAUGUGUGGGAUGCGCAGGAUGUGUGGGAUGCGCGGGAUGUGCCUCCCUCCUCCCUCCCACGCUCCCCACGGGCCGGUGCUGGAGCAGCCGCAACGUGACCACCCAGCGGCUCGCUGCGAUGUGGCCCAUCGCUGCGGGUCGCUCUGCCCACGGGCACCGCGCUGCCCCACGCGCAGAGCUCAGCGCCGCCCCGAGCACUUCACUGUGUCCUGCCUCCUCCUCUCUCCUCCUCUUUGGUGGCACGGGUUUGUAGUGACGUUGAGUCAUUCCCUACGGGACUUGGAGCAACCUGCACAGUCCUGUGAUGUCCGAGAACACCACGGGGAGGAAGCCUGAUAUUAAAUAGAAAAAGGUAUCGAACUCUAUUUUCCUGAUAAUUAGGAGCAACUGGAAUUAGGCUGGUGAGACCAGGGAAGAUGAUAACGUCGCGCAGGCAGCAGAGAGGCGCUUCCCUCGGAACAGCACCGCCGGCCCUGCUCCGAGACCCCGCCAGGCUCCCGCGGAGCCCACGGGAGCGCGGCGGGGGCAGGAGGGAAUUUCUCUCUCGCUCACGUCAGAGAUGUAUUUUCAUCUUGUGCAAUUCCUGAGUGUCUUCACACAGACUAACGAGACAGCUGGAAAGCUAUUUAUUCCCUUUGCUGGCUACCGCUAAGAACCUCGGAGCAGCCGUUUGCCUAAGCGGAGGGGAAGGCGGUUUUCGAGCCGCUCCUGCCGCGCGGAGCUGCUCGGAGCAGCCCGGGCAGCGGCGGCACAGCCAGCGCGGUGUUUGGGGGCUGGCAGGAGCUUCGCAGCAGGCUGCGCCAGACGCCUUAGCGCAUCGUGCCCAUCGCUGGCCUUUCGGGGGGCAGUUCCAAGCAGAGCGAGACGCCUAAUCACGAAGUAGCGACUGCUCUUGGCACCUGAUGCGCAAAGGCGAACCUUGGCACGAGCGGCCGUGGUGCCGGCUCCCACCAGGGCCCCGCAGCCGGUGCAGCCGGGAGCAGGAGUGACGGAGCCUGCCGGGAACUGGGUCAGCUCCCGGAGGUGCUCCUGUGGCGUCCCGGCCAGCGCUGAGCCCGGCCGGUGCUGCCACUGCAUCCUGGAGCGGGACGUCACGCACACGUUCCCGCGCGGCCCUGGCUCACGCGCCACGUCCUCGAGGGGAAGCGUCCCCACCACUCCCGGAGCCUGCCCGCAGCCUGCUCUCGGGCUCCAGCCACCCCGUUUCGGAGCCAGGGACCCUCUUCUGCGCCAGCCUUCGUGCCGAGCCCCGGGCGCCUUCUCCCGGCGGAGGUGCACGCGGAGGGACAUCCGUGGGCCAUCACUGGCCCUCCGGCAGCACCGGCAGCGGUGCUUCCCACUGCCCCGGCCAAAAGCCCUGGAGCACCGUGAGCGCAGGCUUCGGCAGGGGGUUCGGGAUGCUUUUCCCACGCUAAUCUCCAUUAACACCUCUGGCCRAAGCAGCUUUAGACCCCUGGCCCUGCCUUCCCCAGCAGCCCCCGCGGUUCRGGUGUCUUGCUCUAGCGGCAGUGCAAAUCCGGGCAGACCUGCAACAUCAUCCUCCACGUGAGCAAACCUGCAAUUGGAGCGAGCAGCUGCGUGUCCAGCAGCAAUUUGGGGAAGGCUUCCAAGUGCGCCAAAGCCAUCCUUGUUCUUUACUAGGRAAUGGGGGGAAAACAGCCAAAACGUGGGAAACGGCACAGGAAGAACAGAUCACACCUGACGGCCGAGCUUAAGCCAAGCAGGGGAAACAUCCUAUUACACAGGAUACAAAGGAAGGAGGUUUUCUCUCUCUCUCUUUCUUUUCAAAUCUCCGUAGCAUUUUUUAACCUGUUCAGGAAACAYUAGAGUGUUAGAACACGAUAAAUCCUCUAAACCAUGAUCCUGUUGUAAGUCCUGAACUUAUACCGCAUUUCUCAUGCAGUCGCUGCUGGGAAGUAUCAUAGUUUGAACAUGUCUGCAAAAAUAAAAAUAAUCAAGGCGGGGGGGUGUGUGUGUGA
rnacentral:lncRNA from 1 species